AUGUGCGCACUUAACUGCUGUGCCACCGGGCCGGCCCCUUCAUCUCUUUCUUAUGUCAUUCCUUUCCAUUCUUUCCCACAUCUUUCUAUUACAUUUUAUCUAUUUUUACUUUUCCCUUUUAAUUCCACCCUAUUCAUUUCUUCUGCAUUCCACUACCUUCUAGUCUAUUCCUGUCCACACCAUUUCCAUCCCAUCGCUUCACUUCAUUUCCAUUCUUUUCCUCCCAUCCCAUUUUAUUUCAGUUCUUUCCAUCCACAUUUUCAAUCCAUUAUUUUUCCCACCACUCCAUUCCUUUCUAUUCCAUGUUCCUAUUUACAUUCAUUUCUGGUUGAUUGGCUUUCCUUUCAUUCCACUGCAUUCAGUUUCUGCUCAUCCUAUGUACUUCUUUCCCCUUUAUUUCCCCUUGCCCAUCCCUUCCCCUCCCAUUCAACUCUAGUUCACUGUUGUCCGUUCCCUUCCGCUCUGUUCUCCAUUCUGUUCCUUUUUCACUCCUCUCCAAUCCACUCCACUCUAUUGUGUUCCAUUCCAUUCUACUCCGUCCUUUUCAUUUCCACCUGCUCCCUUCAUUCUCUUCCAUUGCACUCCAUUCCACUCUUCUUUGCCACUUUCCGUUCCACACUUCAACUUCUUAUUCUCGAGUCCUCUCAUUCCACUCCUUUCCAUUUCACCCCAGUCCUUCUUGUUCAUUUUCUUUUACAUUCCCUUCAUUUCAUGCUCUUGCAUCAGUUUCAUUCAAUUCCAUUUCAUUAUUUUGGCUUCCACAGCAUUCCAUUCCAUCACCUCUUCAUUAUUUUCAAUUUCAUUCCUUCACUUCUAUUCUUUAAUUCCCUCGAUUUCCCUUUGUUAUACUACUUUUCUGUCAUUUCUUCUCCAUUCCUUUUCUCUAGAUUUCAUUUCACAGCUUUCUGCCCCUUCCUUUCCUUUCACUCAGUUCAUUUCCUUUCCACCCUUUUCCAUUCUGAUCUGAUACUCCAUUUCAUUUCUCUCCUUUCCACUCCAUCUUAUUGCACUUCAUUCUUUUCCUUUUCAUUCUAUUCCCUUCAUACACAUUUUUUUGGAUGCCAAGCCAUUUUAUUCCACUCCAUCCCUGCCUUUAAUUUCCAUUGUCUUCCUUUCUGUUCUACUUUAUUCCAUUUCCCUCCAUCCCAUUCAUGCCUUUCACAUCCCUCUCAGUUGCAUUGCUAA
rnacentral:lncRNA from 1 species